UACGAAGGGGGCUAGCGUUGCUCGGAAUUACUGGGCGUAAAGGGCGCGUAGGCGGAUGUCUAAGUUGGGGGUGAAAUCCCACGGCUCAACCGUGGAACUGCUCGGUAUACUGGGUAUCUUGAGCCACUUAGGGGCGACCGGAACAAAUGGUGGAGCGGUGAAAUGCGCAGAUAUCAUUUGGAACGCCAAUGGUGAAAACAGGUCGCUGGGAGUGUGCUGACGCUGAGACACGAAAGCCAGGGGAGCAAACGGG
rnacentral:rRNA from 1 species